CCUACGGGUGGCAGCAGUGAGGAAUAUUGGUCAAUGGACGAGAGUCUGAACCAGCCAAGUAGCGUGAAGGAUGACUGCCCUAUGGGUUGUAAACUUCUUUUAUAUGGGAAUAAAACGUUCCACGUGUGGGAUUUUGUAUGUACCAUAUGAAUAAGGAUCGGCUAACUCCGUGCCAGCAGCCGCAGUAAUACGGAGGAUCCGAGCGUUAUCCGGAUUUAUUGGGUUUAAAGGGAGCGUAGGUGGAUUGUUAAGUCAGUUGUGAAAGUUUGCGGCUCAACCGUAAAAUUGCAGUUGAAACUGGCAGUCUUGAGUACAGUAGAGGUGGGCGGAAUUCGUGGUGUAGCGGUGAAAUGCUUAGAUGUCACGAAGAACUCCGAUUGCGAAGGCAGUUCACUGGACUGCAACUGACACUGAGGCUCGAAAGUGUGGGUAUCAAACAGGAUUAGAUACCCUUGUAGUC
rnacentral:rRNA from 1 species